UACGGAGGGUGCGAGCGUUGUCCGGAAUCAUUGGGCGUAAAGGGCGCGUAGGUGGCCCGGCAAGCGUGCGGUGAAAGCUCGGGGCUCAACCCCGAGUCGGCCGUGCGAACUGCGGGGCUGGAGCACUGUAGAGGCAGGCGGAAUUCCGGGUGUAGCGGUGGAAUGCGUAGAUAUCGGGAGGAACACCAGUGGCGAAGGCGAUCAUCUGGGGUUGUUCUGACACUGAGGAGCGAAAGCUAGGGGAGCAAACGGG
rnacentral:rRNA from 1 species